rnacentral:rRNA from 1 species
GAUGAACGCUGGCGGCGUGCUUAAUACAUGCAAGUCGAACGGUGAUUUGCCUUCUUUUUUGGUGGGUGUGGCUGAGUGGCGAACGGGUGAGUAACACGUGCGUAACCUGACCCCUUCUUUUGGAUCACCAAAUGAAAGCGUGUCUCAUACGAGAUUGUCUGCGUCUGUCGCAUGAUGUGUCUGGGAAAGAUAAUGUUUCGGUGGGGGAUGGGCUCGCGGCCUAUCAGCUUGUUGGUGGGGUGAUGGCCUACCAAGGCGGCGACGGGUAGCCGGCCUGAGAGGGUGGACAGUCACACAGGGACUGAGAGACGAGCCAGACUCGUACGGGAGGCAUAGGUGGGGAAUAUUGCACAAUGGGCGCAAGCCUGAUGCAGCGACGCCGCGUGAGGGAUGGAUGCCUUCGGUUUGGGAACCUCGUUCGCCAGUGAAGCAGGCCUGCCUCGUGUGUGGGUGGGUUGACGGUAGCUGGAUAAGAAGCGCCGGCUAACUACGUG